GAUGAACGCUGGCGGCGUGCCUAAUACAUGCAAGUCGAGCGAACAGACGAGGAGCUUGCUCCUUUGACGUUAGCGGCGGACGGGUGAGUAACACGUAGGUAACCUACCUAUAAGACUGGGAUAACUUCGGGAAACCGGAGCUAAUACCGGAUAAUAUUUUGAACCGCAUGGUUCGAUAGUGAAAGACGGCUUUGCUAUCACUUAUAGAUGGACCUGCGCUGCAUUAGCUAGUUGGUAAGGUAACGGCUUACCAAGGCAACGAUACGUAGCCGACCUGAGAGGGUGAUCGGCCACACUGGAACUGAGACACGGUCCAGACUCCUACGGGAGGCAGCAGUAGGGAAUCUUCCGCAAUGGGCGAAAGCCUGACGGAGCAACGCCGCGUGAGUGAUGAAGGUCUUCGGAUCGUAAAACUCUGUUAUUAGGGAAGAACAAACGUGUAAGUAACUGUGCACGUCUUGACGGUACCUAAUCAGAAAGCCGCGGCUAACUACGUG
rnacentral:rRNA from 1 species